GCAGGCCCCCUUCCCCACUUGUGCCUCAAGCUGCUCUGCGCAGGUGCAGCCGAGCCACUCGCCCAGCGUGGGUCAGGAGCUGUGGAGAGCGGAGGUGUCCCGCAGAAACUGAGCAAUGCUUGGCUGCAUCGAAGUUAAUAGGCUCAGAGAGCCAUGCUGAAUAAGUGAAGCCAGCCCUUCCUGAUGCCUCCUGGGGAUGGGCACCUGUUUUCCGUCGGCUCCUCACACCUCUGGGGAGGUGGAGGCACCUGGAUUGUCUCACAAGCUCAUCCACCCCUGGCUUUGACCAUCACCUCUGAGUCAGAAACUGAGCUGACGGCCUUGCAGCUCAAACCUGUAUUUCCAUCAGCUUUUCCCAAAGCCGCCCUACUCCAGUGCACCCUGACUCAGUGCAUGGCACCUGCCACCCAGAGCCCAGCCCGCAGGCAUCUCAGACUCCCCCUGUCGUAAUAAUGAAUGUUUAUUGGAUGUCA